UGGUGCAAAAGUAACUGCAGGUUUUGCAAUUAAAGGUAAUGACAAAAACCACAAUUACUUUUGCAUCAACCU
ensembl:miRNA